rnacentral:rRNA from 1 species
UACGUAGGGUGCGAGCGUUAAUCGGAAUUACUGGGCGUAAAGCGUGCGCAGGCGGUGAUGUAAGACAGAUGUGAAAUCCCCGGGCUCAACCUGGGAACUGCAUCCGAGACUGCAUUGCUAGAGUAUGGGAGAGGGAAGCGGAAUUUCUGGUGUAGCAGUGAAAUGCGUAGAUAUCAGAAGGAACAUCAGUGGCGAAGGCGGCUUCCUGGACCAAUACUGACGAUCAGGUGCGAAAGCGUGGGGAGCAAACAGG